AGUAAUUCUCUCAGUAUUUAUCGUUGAAGUUGUCAUGUUUAUUCACAACAAUCGUUAUGGCAUCGCACCAGACGUCAUCGAGAUACUAGAGGAGUGAGUGUUUUAUUUUAUGUUAAAUUUGGGGGACACCCAUUUGUCCUACCUAGUCCACACCAGAAAUUUCGAUCGCACGACAGCACUGCAGAGGUGUAACUUAGGGACCGUUUUCCAUUAACGUUCGCUUUGCCCGCGCGGGCGAAGCGUUCAUUGUUUUUGAUGCCCGUCACGCCCGCGUGAGCAGAUUUUCGAAGCCCGCUCCGCCCGCGCGGGCAAAGCGACUGCAAUGGGAACCGGUCUUAACACUUGCCCGGGGGCAAGUGAAUAUCAUGACGGGCAAGUAAUUGUUUUAUCUGGCUUGCCCGGUUGGGCAAGCUCAGGGUCCGAUAAUUCAAUAUUUUUAGCCGUACCUGACUGGUAGUCCGACAACUUUUGCCGCGUACCUGGUCACCAACAAACUUAAGAGUCAAGACGUACCUAAAGGCUGCAUUCCAGUUACGCGUUUUUCAUACGUGCGUACACGCACGUAAAAGAUGAAUUCGCUUUACAUCCUACUUAUGAAAUAACUAAAUUUAUAAAAGGACAGCAUUCAGUUUUGUGUAUGAUUUAAUGUGUAUUUGUUAGGUUAUUUGCACUUAUGUGAAUUUUUAAGCGAAUUCAACUUUUACGUGCGUGCCGAGUCAUGCGUUUUUAUACCUACGUAUAGUUUACUGGUCCAAAAGCAAAAAAUGUAUGGGCAAUUUUGUACAAAUAAAUCUUUAAUUAUGGUAUUUGUACAACAUAAUAUAACAGUUUUCAAAGCGUCGACGUUGUGACUCGAAUGCCAUCGCUUAUUUACAGUGGAUUUACCGAGGGUGCUAACUGUCUGACCUCAGCUACAUACAGUGUAGUUUUCCUCAUUGGGCCUUAAAAAACCUGUGGUUCUGGUUUCAUAUCGCGAAAAAAUUAGGGUAGGUGGGUCGGAAAUAAAAUUUUUUUUUGAAUAUUUUUUUCAUGGUUUUGGCGGUUUUUUGCUGGGCGAUUAUCAGGAGAGUCCCGACAUCAAUAUUAACUAGAGAUGCGUAGUUCUUACGGACGAAUUUAGGCAAUUUGGUUCAAUAAUUAUUGUGACAACAGACGCCAUUUUGGCACGCUGUACGAGCAGCCCGCAACCACCCGGAGAAAAUAGGGUCGCACGGUCAAUCGUGUUGAAAAAAAUAAUAGGAUGGGCAGAAAAAAAUAGGGUCGGUCGGGAAACCGGAACCACAAGUAUUUUAUUUUUAGGCCUUGGUAUAGCAUUGACAAUUAAGCCCAGGUCACACUACGCAACGAUAAUGAUACGAUAACUUUUAAACACGCGAUGAUUGGUAAAAAAAUUAUGUUGGUGUCCACACUACAACGAAAACGAUAAAAUUAUCGGCGUUUGACGAUAACGAUUUUAAAAUCGCUCACCCGAGUGAUUUUUUUUCAGUCGGACGAUGACGAUAAAUUUUUUGAUCAAGCGCAAAGAUAACCUUUUGGCUUUUUUCAUCCCAAAAUAUGUCGGAUGCGUGGAAUUUACAUGUACAGCUAAAGUUCUUCACUGUUUUGAAUACUUUGGCAGGUUUACUAGUUAGUGCUAGAAGGAAAAUGUAAGUACGCGAAUAGCAAAUUUCCGCGUAUCUACGUGGUACUUGCCUAAAAACAAAGAAGUACCAGACCAUAAAUUUGGCGUACCUCCGGUACGACGAAUUAUCGCACCCCGGCAAGCUGCACCACAAAAAGCUGGGCAUUUUUAAGUUUAUGUUCGCAUUGUCGGAUCAGUUUUUUUUAGUGCAUGUACUUGAUUUCAAAUUUUGUUUUUUGUUGGCCCAAUCUGAGGCAGUAUAAAACAUAGCCCAACCUAGUCCCAGUCGUUCUGAAGGAAGCGCGAGAAAAAACGUGGAUGUAGUACGAGACUAGGACCUAGGUGUGACGUCACCGCUAAAGAACAGAUUUCAGUGUUUUUAAUAUGGUGGAAAAUUUAUAUAUACAAAUAACCUUGGAAAUACGACAAUGUUCGUUGAUCAUGUUCGAUGUCUAGUUGUCUACAUAACCAAAUUCAAACUGUAUUAAAAAUGUGCUCAAUUAAAAAAAUUUAUAUACAAAUUUACGAUACUGAGUCUGAGUAAUGGUCGUAAAAUCGUUGAUGUUAUUUAUAUACUCGCAAGUUGUGAUCAACACUAGACCAUACUCGUAUACACAACUACGCUUUCUACUUGACAGGUUUAAGUAGCUGAGGAGAUUAGAAAUAUUUGCCUGACAUGACUAUGUUGUCAAAACAUUUUUAGUCGGAGACUCGGCAUAAUUUUCAAGCUUCUAGAUAGCAUUUAAUAUGGCUUUAUAUUUUAGUAAACACGGGUCAUAUUUAGCUUAACGUAGCCUAUUUCAUUGUUCCGACAGCAUUAGAGCAAAACUAAUGACUUAAUUAUAAACGCAAAGGAAAUUUCCAUAACAUUUUCUAUUUACAAAUGCGGUAUGCUUGGUAACCAGGCCAGGGCUGAAGCGUUCCGCACAGCACACCCAGGCAUAAAACUUUUAAGACUUAUUUAAAUAUAUCAAAGCAGCGAUUAGAGAGAGAGCCUGGGACUAGGCUGAACAUAGCCAUAUAGAACAGUGGGAGAACAGGUCGACAUGUUGUCCCACAACCUAAGUAUCCUAGUGGCCAUUGUCUGAUUUUAUUCAGGGCAACUAUAAUUUUCAUGUCCAACGGUCAAAAAGUAAAGUUACACCAUGCACUGCUUGAGCAACCAAAUUAGGUUUACGACAUGUUUUUCAAAAAUUCAAAUUUUACCCUUAAUGACUCAAAACCUUCUGGAAGUGAUGAAAAAUGUUUUCUUUCAUCAAAACAAUCACUUUCGACUUACGCAAACAUGUUUGGCAAAAUUUGAAAAUUUCAGUCAAAAGAAAAUUUCAGUCAAAUUGAGCUAUUUUUUAAUAAUGAAAUAUUGCCCCAAAUCAUUCCAGACGUUCUGGAAGUGAUCUAUUAAUGUUUUCUUUGGUGAAAACGACGAAUUUCGACUUGUAAGGACAUGUUGUACAAAAUUUGAAAAUUUCAAUGAUUUAGCAGGAGACCACAGGCAUCCUCUCAACUUUUCAAACCAUUGAUUCAAUCUAAGGUGUCAUAUGAACUGAAUAUAAUGUUGUUGUUUUUUUCAGGCAAGACAGAUCAACGUGGAUAAUAUUUGGACGCUUUUAGUUUAUGAAAGUGACAUGUUUUCCAAGAACAGAUUUGAGCAUGACAAGAAUAAAGCUUAUCCUUCAGACAUUAUGAGAAUUUAGAUACCCUAAGAAUGUGAACAUAUAGGUAUAAGAUAAUGAAUGGAGGACAUCAAUCUGUCUGAGGCAUCGAGAACUAAUCAGGUAUUAUAGAAACUAUAACUUUAUUUCUCUAUAUGAUAAUUAUAUUG